GGAGCAAAUUCUGGAGAGACCGCUUAUGCGGCGCCGAAGGGUUCACAAUCUCAGGCAACCGGACAGGAUGUUAAGU
rnacentral:ncRNA from 2 species